UGGAUCGCACAUGCCGCGUGAAUUAGAUUGAAGGCCUUCGGGUUGUAAAACUCUUUCACUAGGGAAGAUAAUGACAGUACCUGGACAAGAAGCCCCGGCUAACUCCGUGCCAGCAGCCGCGGUAAUACUACGGGGGCUAGCGUUGUUCGGAAUUACUGGGCGUAAAGGGUACGCAAGCGGAGGGCAAGUCGAGUGUGAAAGCCCCUGGCUCAACCUGGGAAUUGCGGCCCAAACUGCUGAUCUUGACUGCAUUCGAGGAUGGUGGAAUUCCUAGUGUAGGGGUGAAAUUCAUAUAUAUUCGGAGGAAUACCAGUGGCGAAGGCGACCAUCUAGGCUAUUACUGACGCUGAGGUACUAAAGCGUGGGGAGCAAACAGGAUUAAAUACCCUGGUAGUCCACACCAUAAACUAUGAUUGCUAUCUGUCGGGGACUUAAACUUCAGUGGUGAAACUAAAGCGUUAAACCCUCCGCCCGGGGACUACGGGCCCCAGGAUAAAACU
rnacentral:rRNA from 1 species